rnacentral:rRNA from 2 species
ACUUAAAAAGCUUGCUUUUUAAGUUAGCGGCGGACGGGUGAGUAACACGUGGGCAACCUGCCUGUAAGACUGGGAUAACUUCGGGAAACCGGAGCUAAUACCGGAUAAUCCUUUUCUACUCAUGUAGAAAAGCUGAAAGACGGUUUACGCUGUCACUUACAGAUGGGCCCGCGGCGCAUUAGCUAGUUGGUGAGGUAACGGCUCACCAAGGCGACGAUGCGUAGCCGACCUGAGAGGGUGAUCGGCCACACUGGGACUGAGACACGGCCCAGACUCCUACGGGAGGCAGCAGUAGGGAAUCUUCCGCAAUGGACGAAAGUCUGACGGAGCAACGCCGCGUGAGUGAUGAAGGUUUUCGGAUCGUAAAACUCUGUUGUUAGGGAAGAACAAGUACGAGAGUAACUGCUCGUACCUUGACGGUACCUAACCAGAAAGCCACGGCUAACUACGUGCCAGCAGCCGCGGUAAUACGUAGGUGGCAAGCGUUGUCCGGAAUUAUUGGGCGUAAAGCGCGCGCAGGCGGUCCUUUAAGUCUGAUGUGAAAGCCCACGGCUCAACCGUGGAGGGUCAUUGGAAACUGGGGGACUUGAGUGCA